rnacentral:lncRNA from 1 species
UGUGCUUUUGAGGCAGGCGGUAGAACCACUGAGCUAGAUCCCUGGCCGUGCUAAUGCAUUUUUAAUGUGUGUGGUUUUUGUGUUUUCUUCUCAACCAGAUCAAACUUGGACAUAGAUCAGAAGCUAAAGAUGGUAUAAAUAGAACAGCCUUAAGAGAGAUAAAAUU